rnacentral:lncRNA from 1 species
GAGAUCAUGCUUCAUAAAACACCUGGUUCUUUGUGUAUCUGUCACACAAGGGAUAACCAAUAUGACUAUUUGGUUACAUUUGGCUUUUGUUGCUUAGUUUAUUCUUACAUAGAUGGGCAGCUGGAUGUUAGGGAAAAACAGGGACAGGAAAGAGACUCCAUCCAGUGGCUCUCUGAAGAUUCACCCUUGUUAUCAGUCACUUGGGAUUCUGUUAUCAGAAUUUGGGAUUGCUUGUUAUCACAGCAUUACCUAGUCUACCCUGACUAAUACAAGGGCACUUUGAGAAUCUGAUGGAAGCUCAGGCCACAAGAAAACUGCACAUUCAUGCAAAAUUCAGAACCUUUCAAUUUUAAUGUCUUGAGAUUUCGUUGUGUUUCUAAGAUCCUUGAUGUCCCACAGCCUCCUCUUCUCAGCCUUGGAAUCUGAGGCACCUGGGUUGUAAGUGAUGCUAUGUCAGUGUUCACAAAGGCUCACAAGUCUGCGAAGUGGCCAAGAUGAGCUGACCCUGUCACCAUGGAGCAAGGCCUAUGUGUGCAAAUGAGUCAUGAGCUGAGAGGAAAGAGCUUGAGCCUGAGCUUUUUUUUUUCUUUUCUUUUCUUUUCUUUUUAUGAUGAUUGCUUGAGCCUGAGCUUGUUUGCCAGAUGCUUUCACUAGCCCAAGCUUGUUUUGUGGAUGCUUUCUGCUGCCAGCUACUUUGUAGUCCCUCCUGUGUGACAGCAUCUUGCCAUCAACGGGCUGCAGAAGAAGGGGUGCUUGUUGCUAUUGUGAGCAAACACUGCAUAAACAAUCAGCUCACAUGUGUGUCCCAGAGCGUAUGACCAAUGACCUGGAGAACUCUCAGGCUGUGGGGUGGAGAGAAGGCCAUUCUGAGGUCAACUGAAACCUCACUUGAGGGGCAGUUCCGUAGAUGGGAAUGAGGAGAGAGUCAUGGCCACAGCCACCUGGCCAAGGAGAGAGGCCAUAACUGCCAGACAGAACCAAGGAUGGAGGGACUUCAGCAGCACGAACAAUCCACACUCAGCAUGGGUCACUCUCUGGGACACACAUUUCCCUCUGGCUGAAAGGCUGAGCUGCUCCAGGGCCAACUGUGAGGUCAGACAGCUGCCCAGGGAUGUCUCCAGCCACUCAAGGGAAGAAGAGACCACUCACCUGUAAUUUCAACAGCAACAAAAGACCUGAGGUUCCACCAUCAGAACUUCACGCCCUAAGGAAGAUGCAGCAUUUCCUGUAAAAUGCAAGUGCUCCCAGGCAGAGGUAGCUCCCGAAGCCAUGAUCAAAACCCUGGGCCCCUUCCCCAGCUGUCAUGAAGGUGCCUGAGUGAUGGUCAGAGAGAUGACCGGAGGGGCCCACCCGGCCACCGCAGCAGCAGCAGCCAAGGCGGGACUAAGCCUCCACACCCCACAUCUCAGUCGUGGCCAGCCCGGGAUGCCUGCCUCUCCUGCCCUGUGGUGUUGCUGUCCUCAUAUGACCCUUCAGUCCCCCGACAUCUGGACAGGCUUUAGGGACCUGCUUGAGCAGAACAUGGUAGAAGUGAUGGACUGGGGCUUCUGAGGCUAAGCCAUAAGAAGCCUUGAGAAUUUCACCUGGCCCUCACUGUCUCUGGGAGCCCUGAGCCAUGAUAGAAGAAGUCCUUCCUAUAUUGAAUGUCCUUGAGACCUCCAGUACUGGAAAGGGCAUUUGUAGAUGCUCAGACCAACAGUCCAAACUGAGCCCAGUCUGCCAACUUGCCCUGCCAAGGUGUCAGAUGCAUAUGUGAAUGAGACCAUCCUAGACCUGCUGAUAGCCCAUCACCCGGCUGACUGCUACUGAGUAACCUCUGCCAACUUCACGCCGAACACAGAACUGCUGAUUUGAACUCUGCCUGAAUUUCUUGGCCCACAGAACAAUGAGAUAUAAUUAAAAGGCAAUGGUUCAAGCCA